GACGAACGCUGGCGGCGUGCCUAAUACAUGCAAGUCGAACGCUUCUUUCCUCCCGAGUGCUUGCACUCAAUUGGAAAGAGGAGUGGCGGACGGGUGAGUAACACGUGGGUAACCUACCCAUCAGAGGGGGAUAACACUUGGAAACAGGUGCUAAUACCGCAUAAAACUUUAUGCCGCAUGGCAUAAGAGUGAAAGGCGCUUUCGGGUGUGGCUGAUGGUUGGACCCGCGGUGCAUUAGCUAGUUGGUGAGGUAACGGCUCACCAAGGCCACGAUGCAUAGCCGACCUGAGAGGGUGAUCGGCCACACUGGGACUGAGACACGGCACAGACUCCUACGGGAGGCAGCAGUAGGGAAUCUUCGGCAAUGGACGGAAGUCUGACCGAGCAACGCCGCGUGAGUGAAGAAGGUUUUCGGAUCGUAAAACUCUGUUGUUAGAGAAGAACAAGGACGUUAGUAACUGAACGUCCCCUGACGGUAUCUAACCAGAAAGCCACGGCUAACUACGUGCCAGCCGCCGCGGUAA
rnacentral:rRNA from 1 species